AUGCACGCUGGCGGCGUGCCUCAUCCCUGCCAGUCGCGCGAACAGACGAGGAGCUUGCUCCUCUGACGUUAGCGGCGGACGGGUGAGUAACACGUGGAUAACCUACCUAUAAGACUGGGAUAACUUCGGGAAACCGGAGCUAAUACCGGAUAAUAUAUUGAACCGCAUGGUUCAAUAGUGAAAGACGGUUUUGCUGUCACUUAUAGAUGGAUCCGCGCCGCAUUAGCUAGUUGGUAAGGUAACGGCUUACCAAGGCGACGAUGCGUAGCCGACCUGAGAGGGUGAUCGGCCACACUGGAACUGAGACACGGUCCAGACUCCUACGGGAGGCAGCAGUAGGGAAUCUUCCGCAAUGGGCGAAAGCUUGACGGAGCAACGCCGCGUGAGUGAUGAAGGUCUGCGGAUCGUAAAACGCUGUUAUUAGGGAAGAACAAAUGUGUAAGUAACUAUGCACGUCUUGACGGUACCUAAGCAGAAAGCCACGGCUAACUACGU
rnacentral:rRNA from 1 species